AACGCACCUUGCGCUCCUUGGUAUUCCGAGGAGCAUGCCUGUUUGAGUGUCAUUGAAUUCUCAACCAUGUCUUGAUUGAUUUCGAGGCAUGGCUUGGACUUGGGGGUUGCUGGCGGCGAAAGCGGUCGGCUCUCCUGAAAUGCAUUAGCAAAGGACAGCAAGUCUGACGUGCACGGCCUUGACGUGAUAAUGAUCGCCGUCGCUGGAGCGUAGGACAAGCAUGAAUGAGUCCGUUUGCUUCCAAUCCUUGACUUGGAUGCUUUAGCUACUAGUUGGUCGCGAGGCCGACGAACGCAGGGUUUCCCUCGUCUUCCUUUGACAACUUGACCUCAAAUCAGGUAGGACUACCCGCUGAACUUAA
rnacentral:misc_RNA from 1 species